rnacentral:misc_RNA from 1 species
CAUUUAUCUAUAUAUUUUCUCUUUAGAACAUUACAAUAACAUAAAAGAACUCUGUUCUGAAAAUGAAAAUGCGUCUCUUCACAUGUGACACUCGUUAUGCAUUUUAUGGUCACGUGGCAAUUUCGAUGUAUAAUGAAACAACAGAUAUAUCGAACGAUCAAUUAAUUUCAUUACUAAUAAUUAUUACCAAUACAGUGAGAAAUUUAGAAAUUUUCGUUAAUCUCGUCAGAGAUUCGGUAAAAUUGAUGGAAUUGUUGAAUACACUGUUCGCUUCACGAAGUAGAACGGAAAAUUUUUGAUCGUUUGUUUUUCUAUCUUUUACAAUAACGACGAAACUCAUUGGCAUGAUUAUAUAUUUAAUGCUGAUUCAAAACCGAUGCCAGGAAUGCGAACACGACGGAGGGCACAGCAGAAUAGAAAUGUUCGUGACUUGAUCUCAGUCAUUUCUUCUUUGCAUAAAACUCUUGUAGUUCACAAUCGGUAUGAGGAAUAUCCGUACAUACGGAGACGGUCGACUAAGUAAAAUCAAUUAAAGCUGCAAAAAUUGGUUGGUACAAAUUUUCAACUUUUUUUUAUCGAUUUCAUUAAUCGAUGAAAUAAUAUCAAUGAUACGAAUGUUGGAUGUUUUUAUACCGAUUUAAUAAUUUCAUGUUAACUGAUAUCGUCGUUACCUUAUACAAUACAUAAUACAACAAACGUGUAAAAUCUGGAAAAAAA